GACGAACGCUGGCGGCGCGCUUAACACAUGCAAGUCGAACGGAAAGGCCUGCUUUCCCUUGUGGAUUGCGGGUACUCGAGUGGCGAACGGGUGAGUAACACGUGAGUGAUCUGCCCCCAACUUGGGUAUAAGCCUGGGAAACUGGGUCUAAUUCCCGAUAGGACUGCAGGGUGGUGCCUGUGGUGGAAAACGAUUUUCUAGUGGUUGGGGAUGAGCUCGCGGCCUAUCAGCUUGUUGGUGGGGUAAUGGCCUACCAAGGCGGCGACGGGUAGCCGGCCUGAGAGGGUGGACGGCAAAAUUGGGACUGAGAUACGGCCCAGACUCCUACGGGAGGCAGCAGUGGGGAAUAGUGCACAAUGGGAGGAAGCCUGAUGCAGCGACGCCGCGUGGGGGAUGACGGCCUUCGGGUUGUAAACUCCUUUCGACCGCGAGGAAGCCACCUGGUUGGAAGGGUGGUGACGGUAGUGGUAGAAGAAGCACCGGCUAACUACGUG
rnacentral:rRNA from 1 species